CAUUGGGCCAAUACGACGGAAUGAAGUUCACAACCAAAGACAGAGAUAAUGACGAAAAGAGUGAAUUUAACUGCGCUAGGAACAACAAAGGUGCCUGGUGGUACAGACACUGUGCCUACUCCAAUCUCAAUGGUGUGUAUUUCACAACAGGUUAUAGUGGUCACUCAGAAGGAAUUUACUGGUACCAUUGGAAAAAGGAGUAUACAAGCUCCAUGAAAAAAGUGGAGAUGAAAAUACAUCAAAAUUAGAAACACAUUCGUACAACAACACCAUUUGCGGAAAAGAUUACUAAGUUUAAAUUACCUGAAUAUAAAUAGAUUAGGGCACUAAACUGGAUAAUUACUGGCCAGCACACAAUUUUACUUAUAAGUAAAUGGAUAUUUAUGCCUGUAAAUAGGGUGGUAAAGAGUAUUUUUGUGAAACGUGAAAUUUCGUAAUUGUGUGUCGUGAAACCAGAGGCGUAGCCAGGAUUUUCCGUCAGAGGGGGCCGGCAAAAACCCAGGUGGGGCCAAGCCGCCAGUGACUCGAGACGCAAAGUUCGCGCAAGAAAAAAUUUUGCGGACCACACAACAUUUUAAAUCUCCCUCCUUCCCCCCCUCCGUCGACAACUUUUUCGGUAAAAAAAUUUUCUGGACAAU